CCCCAAACCGUUGUGACUGCCUGGGAUUGGUAACAUCUCGAGUGAUACGUGUUGGAUCAUCCCAACAGAGCUGGAUCAGCAAAGCUUGGCUUCAGGAGACAAAAAUAGGAUUUGUGGGUUACCAGAAGCUGUUUGAGUUCUAGCUAUUCCUAGGAAGAGGACUUCAGCUGUCUCAAUUCUAUACCUGCAGAGUCCCUCCGUGUCACAGGAAAUUCCUUCCCAGCAUUUGAAAGGGUGAUGAGGUUUUGAGGAACAUUCCAGCAGGAGGAAGCAGACCCAAAACUCUAACUUUGAAGGGCUGCCUGAGAAGGGUAUGAACAAGAUGCUCGUUACAGCAAACAGGAGUCCCUCUGUAUCCCGUCAGCAUUCUUCCCCAUUUCUGCAGAUCCCUGUCUUCACUACAUCCUAGUGCUGACGGCUGCCGCUGCUUCUGAACUCUUAAAUUAGUGGAUUAAGACUGCUGUGGUCUGACAUCCCUGCCUUCGCUGGCGCGGACACCGGGAGGGUUUACACAGCACUGGAGCACCAGGAGUGAGGAGAUGUGCCAUGUGGACCUGCUGUGAUGCCUCUGGUGACAGAACCACCUGCCAUGGUUGUGCUUUCCUUCUAACUUCCUGCCAGGCUCAACUUCUCUGGGGAAAGGAUCUGCUUUUGUUGCGCGAUCCUUCUCCGGUCUAAUACAAUAGGACUCAACCUCAGAGAUAACCCGAAAAAAACCAACAACCCAGCAAUUUAAUCCUGUGCUGACAUUGACACAGGCCAUCAGCCAUGUGGAAACUUGUGUAAGAGUUUGCGUGUGGUCCAGUGCUCGAAGGGUUUGAGUUCUCCUUCAUCCAGUUCUCCUCCUCACCGCCUGUUAUUCAAGGAGCUUCCCGCUCGGCGUUUCCCGAGAGGACUGGAAGGACAGGUUCCCCUCUCGCCCUUCCUACUGCCUUCAGACUUGGCACGAUCCCAUCCGGAGCAGCCCUGGAACUGGAACUGCAGGUCCAGCUCCGACUCCCAGAGCCCGGGGCUGUGAGGUGCCGGGUGAGGAGGGAAGGGCUGGGGAACCGCUCUGCCAAGCGCUAGGAAGCCCCCACCCAGCACAAACGGGAUUUUCAGCCGGGAUUUUCAUGGUUGGGUUUGGAGGACACACCUCUGACAAGGUGACCAUUCCGCUUUUCAGCCUCUAAGAUCCCCGAGAGAAGGAACAAAAGAAGAAAUAUUUAUAAUUUAACCCGAGGUAUGAACUUAAGAUGCUUAAAUUUCAGCGCGGUGGUUAGCCUAGCACUAUUAAAAGUGACUGGAGGUAGGAUUUUACGAUGGGAAUUGCUAACCAGCUUUAAUAGGAGUUAUACUACCAGUCCUGCCUUUUAAUCAGUGCUUCCAUUUUCCGUAUAAAUUACAGCUCGUAGCUGGUAGUCCUUCUGGCAUAUCAGAUAUCGGCGUAACUCAGCAAGCGUAAUAAGGAGAAACCCAAACACCCUUCUGGGGAGGUAAUUAUUCAUCAUUGUGAAAAGGCUCCAGGAUAUUUUUAGUGGAGGACAAACCCCUCGUUUCCCGGCAGAAACACCGAAGAAAAUGAUGGAAUAAUGAAGCAAGUUUCACCACGAGAAAACACUUCAGACACUGGUGUUGGCUGGCACUUGGUAGUCACGUCGACGUUUAAUUAGUCGCGCGCAUCUCUGCGUCCCUGCGCACAGCGAAACGCACGCUGCGUCUCGGGGACGCUGCGAAGAGUCUGCCUCCCCAAAGAGCCUCCAAAGAAACAAAUCUGUAAAUCCCGCUGGAUCAGGGAUAAUUUCAGGGGAAUCCAGAGGGGCCUGCAGCGAGAGGGACACCCUCGCCACACGCACAGAGGUUAUCACCGGCAACUCUCCGGAAAUAGCAGCACUACCGGCGUGAAAACCCAUUUCUUUCUGGAACAAACGAUUUUAAACUAGUUUUAAAGCAUUUUGCGAUACAAACACACAUUUUAGGGGGAUGUACCAGCGUUUCCCAUCGUGCAGUGCCGCAGGUUAUCUCCCAGUUACCACUUCUUGAGCCCUGGCGCUCCAUGAUUUACGCACUGAAAGAGACGAUUCAAUUAGUCAAUCAUAAAAUGAGCAGGGAUAGCGUGCGUGUUGUAAAAACACAAUUUAGUGGGCAACAAGCUGAGAUGGAAGAAACAAAAAAUAUAUGGGUAGACUUCAUAUGAUUAAUGAAGGGGGAAUGUAUAUUUAUAGCUCUUAUUGUGUCCUUUGUAAGGAUACGGGAUCCAGACCGGCUGGUAACGAGGCAGCAUUCAAAUGAUUUGGAUUUGAAUGGCAAAUGCUGUAUAAAACUAAU